rnacentral:misc_RNA from 1 species
AAGUCGUAACAAGGUUUCCGUAGGUGAACCUGCGGAAGGAUCAUUAAUAAUUUGCUGAACCUAGCGUUAGCGAGGUUCUGCGAUCACUUAUAUUUAAAACCCAACUCUUAAAUUGUAUAAUUAUGUAUUUUUUUUUAAUAAAAAAGAUCACUUUCAACAACGGAUCUCUUGGCUCUC